UACGGGGGGAGCAAGCGUUGUUCGGAUUUACUGGGCGUAAAGGGCGCGUAGGCGGCCACCGCAAGUCGACUGUGAAAUCUCCGGGCUUAGCCCGGAAAGGUCAGCCGAUACUGCGGGGCUAGAGUGCAGAAGGGGCAACUGGAAUUCUCGGUGUAGCGGUGAAAUGCGUAGAUAUCGAGAGGAACACCUGCGGCGAAGGCGGGUUGCUGGGCUGACACUGACGCUGAGGCGCGAAAGCUAGGGGAGCGAACGGG
rnacentral:rRNA from 1 species